rnacentral:tRNA from 1 species
CCCUCGGUAGCUCAGUUGGUUAGAGCGCGCGACUCAUAAUCGCUAGGUCACUGGUUCGAAUCCAGUUCGAGGGA